AUGCCAUGUGCUCUUAGAAGGCUUUUUGCAACUAUUCUUGUAUUCUAUGAGGCGACCAACAUCCGUGCAUUGUGGGAGAAGCACCUGGAGUCAAUGUCUGAGGAUUACCGUCGUACCCAGUCCAACCAGGCUGCGUUGGAACAGAUGGUCCUUAGAGACAUCUGGGAUUUGGUGCAUUCGAUGGGCACAUAUAUUAAAAGCUAUGGCCUCCCGGAGCUGGUUGAGACCGAUGAUGGUUCCGGCGACCUCCUAAGGGAGGUUCGAGAGGAGUUGUCGGUCGGUGUGGAUCAAGAGCAUUUAGAUCUGUAUACAUCCCUGAACAUUGAGCAGAGGGCUGGGUUUGAGGAAAUCUUGGAUCACGUGGUGAACAAUAGGAAACAGGUUUUCUUUGUUGAUGGUCCUGGUGGCACGAGUAAGACUUAUCUCUACAAGGCGCUUCUUGCUAAAGUGCGUUCAUUGGGUAAAAUAGCUAUUGCAACCACGACAUCUGGAAUAGCCGCAUCAAUCAUGCCCGAUGGACGUACCGCCCACUCCAGGUUCAAAAUUCCGGUUAAGCUCAUGGAUAAUAGCAUCUGCAGCUUCACCAAGCAAAGUGGUACUGCGGAGUUGCUUCAGAGAGCAUCUCUCAUAAUUUGGGAUGAGGUUUUCAUGACGAAGCGUCAAGCAGUUGAGGCACUUGAUAGGUCACUACAGGAUAUCAUGGGAUGUGUUAUGCCAUUUGGGGGGAAGGUUGUGGUGUUUGGAGGGGAUUUUAGGCAGUUCCUUCCCGUGGUCCCGCGUGGGACAAGAGCACAAAUCACUGACGCCACACUAGAAUUAGACAAAUAUGCCUCACGCGUAAUAUGA
rnacentral:rRNA from 1 species